UGAGACUGUAAAAAAAAACAGCAGUAGUGGCGCUGCGGACAUCGCAGUAGGAGUAUAAUUAAAAUCAAUGUAACAGUGCGGUGUUUCGAGACACGGAUUUUCCCGAGUGUAUUUUUUUUCAACGAGGGUCUGUUUGUAUGAGAAAUGUCGAACGGAUUAAAAAUGUUGAACAAUGAUAAAAACACCAACGAAACAAACUACAACACAUCUAUGAUCUGUACUACUACUGCUGCAACUCCCGCGGUGGGAUUGCAGGAGCCACACUUGACAGGGAUGGAGCAGCGAAAUGUGCUGAAACCCAUGCUGAAAAGGGCUUUUGAAGCUGAGCCUGAAGGUCAGUGGCAGAUCCAAUGUCUAUAUAAUGUUAUUGAACAGCAAUUAGUUGUUACGCAUGUACACAUUAAAAUUGACCUUUUGAUAAAAGCAGAACACGGAUCACCUUAUAAAUCUGGUGUUACAACCGUAAAGAAACGGCACAAGAAUCCACAGCCAAAGAAUGCGGUAUGCGCGUUGAAUGAAUUGAAAACUGGUGCUGUGUACAAGGUUGUGGAACAAACAGGCCCUACUCAUGCUCCAAUAUUCACAAUAGCGGUACAGAUAGAUGGACAAACGUACGAGGGCAAAGGUCGUACUAAGAAAAUGGCAAAACACGCCGCAGCCGAGCUCGCUUUACGAAACAUUAUUCAGUUCAGAAAUACACCGGAAGUCCAUCAAGCGAUUAAUACUUGCCAACCCUCGAUACCCCUCGAGCCCGAUUUUACUAGCGAUGUUACGGAGCGCGAUAAUCAUCUAGUCAACGCGUUUAAAACACUAACCCAAGAACCAAAAAGUACAAACAAGUUUUUAGAAAAAGGGCCCGUAGCGCUUAUUAAUGAAUUGUAUCCGGGUGUCGUAUACAAAUGCGUAUCCGAUAACGGAGAAAGUUACGCAAAGUUUACGAUAUCGGUGACCAUUGACGGAGAAACGUUUGAAGGAACUGGACCAAGUAAAAAAUUAGCUAAAGCUGCAGCCAGUAAAGCGGCACUGGCUAAGCUGAGAAACGUUCACAGUUCCUCGUUUUGUAUACCGCUUCCUGUACGUGUCUUACCAAACUUUUCCAACAGUGGUCACUGGCAAGAGCAGAUGUCGUUACCUCAGAUGUUAGCCGAUAAGAUUGGUAAGAUGGUGAACCAAAAAUUUAGCGAACUUAUCCAGUCUAAACCGCAGCAUGCCCGACGUAAGGUUUUGGCGGGUAUUGUUCAAACAAAGGGUACAGAAGCGGAAUUGAUAUGCGUAACAACCGGUACCAAGUGUGUCUCUGGAGAACACUUGAGCGUCAGCGGUGGCGCUUUAAACGAUUGCCAUGCGGAAGUAGUAGCCAGGAGAUGUUUAUGCGAAUAUUUAUAUAAACAGUUAGAACUUCACGCGGAAGAUCGUGCGGCAGAGUCGAUUUUAGAAUGUAUGAAGAAAGGAUUCAAAUUGAAGCAGGGUAUUCAGUUUCAUUUAUACAUAAAUACCGCUCCGUGCGGUGAUGCCAGAAUUUUCUCGCCUCACGAGGAAAACGAGUCUGUUGAUAAGCAUCCGAAUCGAAGAGCCAGGGGUCAAUUGAGAACUAAAAUAGAAUCAGGAGAAGGAACGAUCCCGGUGAAAAGCAGCGAAGGUAUCCAAACGUGGGACGGUGUACUGAUGGGCCAAAGACUGCUGACGAUGUCGUGUUCGGACAAAAUAGCUCGGUGGAACGUACUUGGUGUGCAAGGUGCACUUCUAAGCCACUUCAUCGAGCCAAUUUACUUCCACAGCAUCGUUCUUGGCAGUCUAUUGAACCCAAGUCAUAUGUAUAGAGCGGUCUGCGGGCGUAUCGAAAACACAAUUCAAGGUCUACCGCCACCGUACAGGCUUAAUAAGCCAUUAAUGAGUCUAAUCACAUCUUCCGAAGUAAGACAACCCGGGAAAGCGCCUAAUUAUAGCGUUAAUUGGACAAUCGGUCAAUCUGACGCUGAGGUAAUAAACUGCACAACGGGGAAAGACGAAUUGGGUAAGCCUUCCAGAAUAUCGAAGCAAGGACUUUUCAGAAGGUUUUACAACUUACUUGGUAAACUGGAAACCAUCGACGACGCUGACAAGAAUCAGUGUCGUCACUAUUUAGAUGCGAAGUCAUCCGUGCAAAAUUACUCGAAUCGAUAAGAGGACGUACCGUAUGCAUCGACGAACAAGCCACCGAUAACUGCACCGCAUCCCCUGCCAAGACCAUGAUGUAUACCUUGAAGAACCCCUUGGGCGCUGGUGCGCAAGUGUGAUGGUGUGUUGUGCGAAAUGUAACUGCAACACGCGGCCCACACAGCGGCGUGGGUUAUUCCUUGAAUGAAUUCGAAAGGUAGAACCCACCAUGGUGUCGUCAGCCAGGAUAUGUAGAGGAAACGGAUCACGUUACCACCUAGUCCCAUGCACAACACCUGAAAGCAAAUAUACGAUGUACUACCUUCACGUGACCGAUCUGACGGAUCAACUUGAAGCUGAAGAAGUAGGCGAAUAUCUCAGAGACGUGGUUGAUCACAGAAGCAACGCCAAACAAGGUGGGUGUGCCACCGUAGUCCUGGAGGUGCCAGAACAGGAAGGUGAAGAUCAAGCCGAUACCGAAACCCAUGAACCAGGCGACGAAGAGGAAAGAGGCGCACUUCAAAUCUUUGAAUUGCUUCAACACGGUCACCCAUUCUGGGAUUUCCCGCAUCGUUUGAGCGAACAUUUUUGUCUGAAACGAUAAGAGGGACGGCUUUUAAAGAAGACGAUCGAAGGACGAAUGUAAAUAGAGUGGUCAGUUCUUAGUACUUUGCCCUCUGGAGGUUGAGGCUUUGGAUUCACUGCAGCCGAUGAAUCCUGAAGACUAGGAAGAUUCAACUGUUGAGACAGUUGGCUCUGCAGUUGUUCUUCUCUGGUUGGUUCAGCAGGUGGUUUGAUCACUUCCUAUGAAACAAUUGGAAUAUAAUAUAUUUCCACGUGGUUUUGAACCUCUAUGCGAUCACUUACCGGUUCCGAUUCGAUCACAUCGUACUUGAAAUUGAUUUGCGUGGCAGUGAUCAAUGCUGCGCCCAUCAGGACGCUGAAGAUCGCGAAACAGAUCGUGUAAUUCUUCUCCCUGGCGUCAGGACCGCAUGGAUGCUCAGAGAAGGCGGUACUGUGAUCCAAAGCGAUACCAACGAAGAACAUGGCUAGACCCCAGCCUAAACUACCGAACAUUCGCUGGUGACCAUACCUAUAAUCAAGAAAAAUUAAAUUAUAAUAACCGAGACAAAGAUGGAUUGUCCAAGAAACUCUCUACCUGUCGGCAUCCUCGCCUAACAAAGUAAUGACAGCUGAAUCUGCCAACGUUAUCGCUGGAGCUGAGAAGAAUUCUCCAACUAUUACUAACAGUAACAGUAAGAAGAAGGUUUUUUGAAUGUCCUGCAAACAAUAUUCCUCAGUUAAUCCAAUUAUCAAACUAAAGAGAGAUGAUUGUAAACGAAAGAAUGAUUUAUACCGGCAAUCUAUAGACAAUGGAGCUGAAGAGCGGCUUUACCCAGCCCUUAUUUUCUUGUUCGUUGUAAUUCGCAGCAUAAGAAACCGAGUGAGGACUUUUUCCAGAAUGUGGCACCCAAACGUAACGUUUACUCCUGACCAGUGGCACGUCAACAGCCUCCUCAUCUUUGUCCUUAUCCAUCUCUUCGUCGUCCAUUAACGUCAGCUUCCGUGGAGUCUUUAUGGUGGACCAUGGUUGACUAGACUCGGACAGAAUUUGAUUAUCUUUAAUUAUUUCGUCACUGGUGUCUCGCUUCACCAUAACUUUCAUCGGCGGAGGUUUCGCUCUGGUUUUCGUGUGAGUGUACGCCUUCUUCGGCGGUGUUCCAUCGUCCAGGGGUUGAUUCUGCAACAAAAAGCCUCGAUCACCGUUUCCGAUGGCAACUGGUGCGCACAAAACUUACAUUAAGGAAACGUUUGUACUCGAGCACGUCGGCUGGACGGUUUCUCCUUUGGAGGGUCUCGAAAUCGAUGGUUUUGGCUUCAGGAUCGUUCGCGUUCUCUUCGAACACCAGCUGUUUGUACUUGAGAUCUUCUAUAGGGCUCUCCUCGGUGCUCGUACUCUCUAUCGAAGCUUCUCUUCGAAUCCUAUUAUUAUUCAGAUCCUCAGUUUUCUUAUGGAUGGAGUUUCGAUCGUUCCUUCUGACGUUGCUCGUCGAGGAAGUCUUGUUAGGUUGCGAAAGCAACCUGUUCAGCGAGUCUAUCGUGUCGUCGUUUUUACGCAGCCUCUCGAACACGACGUUCGCGGCUACUUCCAGGCAAUGGUUGUCGCCUCGAUGGUAAAAUUCAUCGAAAUUGGUCGAUCUCUUGACUAUCCUAGUUUUGGGAUUCGGGGAUUCCAAGUAGACGGUGUUGUUGCGUAAAACCACGCAGGACGUGGCCGGUGGUUGCAUGAAGGCCAGAGGAAGGGUGAAGAUAAUCCAGCAGGAAAGAGAUGCUAGAAGCAUCAUCUUACCUUUCUGCCAUCUGCAAAACGGGUGGAGCUUUUAUUGGAUUCUUUCUAGGACGUGGAAGAGUGGAUCACCUGUCGGCUAGCGAGCCCCAGAAAGGAGCGCUGAGGAACUCGACCAAAGGCCUAAGUCCCAUCAAGAGACCACAUUGACCGGCGUUCAUGCCCAUCUGCUUGAAGUAGACUCCCAUCAAAGGAAAGAGGGAGCCAAAGGCCGAGUAGAAGAAAAAAUAAAAGGUUUUCACAGUGAGAAGUUCCUGAUCGACGGAACCAAACAGGUAUUCGAUCACGUCGCUCUUGCCACGAAUCUUAUGCGUCGCCUCUUUUGGUUGCGGAUACAAGGUAGGGUCGACCUCGCCUUGGGCCUCGGGAUCCACCAUGGGUCGAGCACCUGGUACCUGUGGUUAAUGGUCAACUAAUAAUCGCUUCGAAUAUAAUUAAGUAAUUCCAUAAAUCAACUACUCAAGUGUAACACUUCGAUUAACAGAGAAUACCUAGUGUUUAGAAGAAUCUCAAGAACUUUAAAUGAUGAUCUAGGAUCACUUUGAAACAUUGAAACUUGACAAUUUUGAAAGGGAAAUGAAUCGAAUGGCCAUAUCACUACCUGUGGUAACGAUCUACCGCCUGCCUGUUGCGAGGUUCCCUCGAUAGACCCAUAAUCGUAGUUUUCGUGUCCAUAGUUCUGCAUGACUAGGGUCGAGGUCUACCUUCCUUAGCCCCUUCCGUUCUUCGUCUUUCGUGGACGGACACGCACGUAACAAUUAUCCAACGUCCACGGAUCUAACCCUCUGACCGAUUCGUCGAAUCGGUGCUUGUUUCGCGGAUCGGAGAGCAAUUCCUCGACCGAACCGUCCUCUCGUCUUUUGGGAAUCACCAGCUACAAUCCUUUUAGACGAGCGUCGAAUCGAUGGCCAACCGUGUGGCACCUUUUGCUCGCGAAAUCGAUAGUCCUGACAGUGCGCCCGCGCAAUCUACACCCCCUUGUUCACUCGAUCGACUAGCGAUGGCUGUUCCACUCUAUCCCGUUUAACUUAGCGAACAAUUUACUUCCCGCGAAUAUGCGACUUAAUGACAUCAAUCAUUUUAGAGAGUAUUAACAAAUGUGUUUAGAACAUUGAUGAUUUAUGAGAAAUUUUGGGAAUGAUUGACCGCGAAUGUUCACUUAAAGAAUUAUAAUCUGAAUUCUUUUAUCGCAUUCAUGUCUACAUAUCCGGUAUUGAAUUCUGUGACAUUUUUUCUUAUUUGAUUCUACAGGAAGUUUCAAAAAAAGAAUUGUACAGUUCUCUGGUAGCGACUCAAAUCUUUUGCUAGAAUCACCUCUUCCACUUUCUCCAACCCUCGUUCUUCCGCCGUUCUUGCGCAGUUGAUCACAAGCCGGAUAUCCGGUUUUUGAGCAUCACCGUUCGUAAGUUCACGUGUACGAUUACUUCCUCCAUUUCUUUCGCUUUAGGAUAAUUAAUUAGAUCGCCAUCGAUUGAGGGGACAGAGAGGAAAAUUGGAAGAAAAUAUUUCGAUUUGCUUUCAUUUCGAAAGCCGUUGCAACGUUGUUUCUCGAGUUAAAUAUAAGAAGUUUUCCUUAGCGUGUAGAAUAGCCUCCGGAAGCGCGUUUGAGGAAACCCUGUCUAUGCCAAUUAACAUUGAAUGUCGAAGACCUUGACCCGCAAUCCUCCCUCGCUCUCAUCCAAAUGAAUUGAAAGUUUCCAAAUGACUCUGGCGUAGGGUGAUUAACCCUCGAACAGCGUAGAUGAGCGAAUCGUGAAAUUCCGAUAGUUAAAUUAAUAAUCUCGACGGUCUGUCGUCCGAGGGUUGAUCGAAGCUAAAAGAGAGAGAGGGUCCAAAGGAGCCUGACAGAAACGAACCGUAGCAUUGACGUCAGCGUAAGUUUCCACUUUACUUAGAGAAAUCUCUGCGAACGAUAGGUCGCGGUUCGGAAAGAAAAUGUCAUUCUUUCUCAUAUGUUGUGCUUUCAGAUGAUACACGGUUAAAGAAUUACGCAUCCUGUUAAACCGUAUCGUCGAUUCGCAUAACAUCACACGGCCACGGUGCGUGUGCGUGAUUGCAAUUUCCUUUCCUGAUAAUCGUUGAUGUCUCGAUCUGGCAAGUUCAUCGGUUUAACAAGGGAGCAUGGAUUUUUACUAGAAUCGGCACGCUAUCUCCUCGUUAACCCCGAGAGAAAUUUAUCUUCUCUCGUUAAGCUUUUAUUUUUAUAUCUAGAAACGCAUUCGCGGAACGUCUUUGCAAUUGCACUGAAAUCCAGGUGAUAUUUUUAAUGAUUCUCUUAUAGGUCGAAUUGACCUCGCGAACAAAGUUAAGAUUGUAUUGUAUCACCGGCGGUCCGUCGAGAACACGAACGAUAAAACUCGAGCAAAAGAAGCAACGAAUCGUUUGUCCGAUUAAUCGUUAUCAUCUCUAGCGACGAUUUCGAAUGAGAGCGUUCUAUUCUCUAACCCGGCAAUGACGCAAAACCAAUUUGACCUUAUUUCAAAGUUCACGCUAUGAAAAUUCGCAGCUUAAAGGUGAGAGGUGCGUCUCAUCUAGACCCCUUAAUCUACUACUUCUCGUUAAAAGAUACACUCGUUGACACCGAGAUGGCCGGCGAAGAAACUUAGCAACUUUAUGGUGAACAAGUAAAUAUCGAUAAAGAAAUAAUCCUCGUUUCUAUAGAAAAUAAAUAUUCACUUUAUUCAUUGGUUCACACAGCGUUAUCGAACAGCAUACAUACGAACAAUUAACUUAAUUGACUUAAUUUAAUUACAGAUUAACUCAUUUAGUGAGUGGAAUUAACUUAAAUUGAUAAUUAUGUACAAAGGCUACGUGGUCGUUGCACCAAGGACAUAUUGGAUCUCUCCCACCGUCGCCCCCUUUUUUGUCCCAUUGUUUCUUUGGUUCCAAUGUCAUGUCGAUUUGUCACCUAAUUCCGGUGAUUGAAGAUCUCCUUCGAUAUAGGCUCCAUGUGUGAGUGGCCUUUGAACGAUGAGGCAGCGGACGUUGAAGAGAGUGCAGGGUCGGGUGGUCCUUGGAACAUACAGGUCUUCGCUGUUUUCAACAAACGACCAUUACUCGCUGUUCGCCAGUACACUGUACGAACAGCCUGCUUUCCAGCGACGUAACUUACUGCUCCACCGAUCAACAUCUAGAAAGAAAAUAACAAAGAAAUUUAACGAGGAUCCUUUAAAAGUAUUAAAAAUUGGGGUGUGCAUAGGGUUGGAAAUAGAUAUGCCCUCAGGUAUUCAACUGAAAAAAUGAAUCCUUUGAUGGUGAAUUACCAAGAAGGAAGAUACAUUGGUCCAAAGCUAAGGAAACAUCUCAAAAUUGAAAUGAGAAUAAAGAGGAAAGUAUAUUCAAAUAGAAGUGCUUACCUUUGUUUUCUGUUGAUUGAAGUGUACUGAGAGAGACUAGUUUGUUGUAAUAGAAUCGUGAAAUUCUAUGUUGUUAAGUGGAAGUAAAUUGAUGGUAUAACAAGAAGAAAUGUCUUGCGGUAGUUGUACCUCGCCUCGCAAUUAUGCGAGGAGAAAAGCUGAACUGAAGAACGGACCUCCUUCCGUGGAUAAUUUAUACGAUAAAGUCGACGUCACGGGGUCUGGUGAUAAGAAGAAUGGUCGCGUCAUUCAUCGUGUACACCGAAUCCACGAGCAGUGCAUGGGAACCGUCGGUGGUAGGGGUGGAACAUUUUUCAGAACGUGUCAAAAAGUCAAGAUUUAGAUACGCUUCAUCCUCUCCUACUCUUUCGCCUACCUCUCGAUGCAACCUUAUCGAAUACUCGCCCAUACCAGUUUUGAUAAGCUGCCAGCCAUUGUGGCGCAAUUCCUGAUGGACGGAUCAGCGCACGGAUAGAGCAACCUUCUGAUUAACCCUUUCAAUGUUACCACUUGUUAUUAGAAUUGUUGUUUAGGGUAAACUAGAUAGAUCUUCAUAUUACAGGAAAGUUAGUAAAGAAAUUGGGAAAUCCCUCUUUUGGAAGGAACCAAACACGGUGUUGCAAUUUUCAUCUUAAUUUCAGAAAUUCAAUUGGCAAAACAACGUAGGAGGUGUUUAUAUCCUCUCUUAAGACGAUAUCAUUUUCCUUGAAAAUUACGAAACAAGCUUUUCAAGAUUUUCCUUGAUCAGGUGAUCUAAAUUGAUCCAGCAAACACGAUAGACCUUCUCGAGCGUAUCUUUUUCCUCGAUCAUGGAAUGUUUUCAAUAACGCUCGUGCGUCUUUUUCUCCAAGCAUCUCGUCACCAAUAAAAAUAAAAAUUAAUUCGGUGAAAUACAUUCAGAUAUCAAAGCUGGUUUUGUAAAUAAAAUCACGAGAAAACGGCGUUGCCUCGUCUUGUUGAUGUACGAUUUCCACCUAUUCGAAUUAACAAAAUCAAAGUUCGUCAAGAUAACAACUCAACGAUCAAGGUUAAACCGUGUAAACGUACAUAUAAUGUACGCGUGUAGAUGGAAAAUAAUGCGUAAGUCGUGCGAUGACACGUCGUUAACAUUGAUACGAUGGAUGAAAAAAAGGAACUCCCCCGACAAGAGGUGAUAACGUUUCGCAUCAUCCAGAUGUACUUUGCUUCUUACGACAAUAUUGACACGCCAUUUGUUUAUGUUUAUUCAUCGUGUCAAAAGUUUUCCAAGAGGUGCACGACCCCCCAAACUCCGGCUUGACCCAGACUUCGUACAAUUCUUAUUUGCAUCUUAAACUCAAAGUUCAUUACUUGAAAAUUGUCAGAUUCUCAGGAAAGUGGGUUAAAAUUUUUAUUCAUCUAUCUAAACAUUUGUCUACACUUCGUUUCAUAAUUUUUCACUGUGAUACAAGAUUACAGAAAACACGAAGAGGAACGUUGCCAGCUCGUCUACCAUUGUGUCUAGGAGAAAAGUAGCAAUCAUCCUCUUGCAUGUAUGCAAACACACGCCUCUCCAAAGCUCAUGACAAACAAGGAAAAACGAUGUUUCUAAAAUUAAGCCAGACGAUAGAAAUAGGGUAAUAGUGAAACUAAUAGACGAGGAAAAUGAUUACGAAAUGAUAACUAAUGAAGGAUAACUCAUCUUUUCAGAUAAUUCGAAAUGUCAGGACACUUGUACUUAAGAAGAGUAAAAGAUGCCGAUGGAAAAUUUGUUUGACGAGCCACGGGUCAAUCGAGGCCGUACGGUCGUUCUACGUAAGUCAAAAAUGUGUCGGAUAAGAUACUUUCCGGGACGAUGGGGGUAACGCGCGAAAGUCGCGUGGAUUCACGUGAAACUUUCGUGACAUCGAAGAGAUGAGUGAAAAAGAAACGACGUGAUCGCGAUAGGCGAUCGUCGAUCCUGAUACGAAACGCAGUUGUCUAUCUUUGCUCUUCCUUCGAGUAUCUCUUCUUUCGUUGACACGCCUGAAGUACCGUAUUUUCUGUGGAUUUUCCUCGAUCUGUACAUCUGUUUUAGAUGUCAUUUACCAAUGCGAUUAAUCUUUAUCAGGACAGGUACGAUUCCUCGCGAUUAAUUCUAUUUCGGACUUUGAUCGUUUCCCGAUAAGCAGAGUAAAGAUGUAAUUAUUCACCCAGAACAAAGGUGGUGACGCGUCGUUAUCGCUCGGAAUUACCAGGCAUCGUUUGUUAUCAGACACGCAUUAUUACGUGAAUCGUAGGUAAUUUUGAACACGCGCCUUUUUACGAGUUCCAGACGAGAGAUACGUGAUUUUUUAUCCAUGUCGAGAGUGAUUAAUGAAGAACGGUGCCAUGAAGUCUGCCGUUCCCUCUUUAUCAUUUAUCUCCUGAUUCUCUCUCUCUUAUCUCGUACAGUAGCUAUAUUUCUUCGUUUCUUCUUCCCCUCUUGCAAGGUGAAUACGAUUCGAACACACGUGUAUCCCUUCGUUCACUUUUCGACCUCUUUGUAAUCGUCUAUCAAAGUUACGAUGUUGUUCAGCGCAUCUUGGAACAGACUUUCCUCCAUACCUUCCCCUACGUAGUGAUGAACGAAAGCUCUCUUCUGAUACAUCAAAUCGAAUUUACGAGCCAACAUCCCCCAAUUGUAUCGAACAGCUGUGUUGUUGCCAACCAUUGCCGCUGUUCUUUUCGAUUUUGCUAAAUCUCCGCCGGGAACCGUGGUCGUCGGUUGAUAAUUAAUUCCUACCUGAAAGUUGAAGAGAAGGUUUCAGUCUCGAAGAAACUACGUCGACUGACAUGGUCUACUUUCUUUUCUGACAAAUCGCACAACAAUGCGAGUCUAGACAAACUCAUUGCAUCACCCAUUGCCAAAGUUCAGUCUUUCUAUUUACAGUUCAUCGUUCUAACCAAAAUAUGUUUUGAUUAUCUAACGAACGAAUGUCAAUAGCCACAGAUUCGCUGCAUCACUUCGUGAUUAUCCAUAAAUUUAAUAUCGGGAUGAUUCUUUGUCCAUUGGUUAACACUUUGAACGCCACGUCACUCAUAUAUGGGUGACGCUUGAAUUUCAUCACUCAUACUAUUAGAAAUUCUUUGACUUACUCAAUUGGAAAUACUUGUAUUAGAUACUUGAAAUUGUGGAUAAAAAUAUAAUGAAAUAUUUUAACACUUUCGCGACGGGGCCUGAAAUUUCUUAAUUACAAUAAUCAGUUAUUUAAAUGCUAUGACGCGAUAAUAGUUUAUGUAACACCAUCCCAUGGGACAGGCAAGAAUGUACUACCGGCGGUACACCCCGUCGCGAACGUGUUAAAGAUAAUGUACAUAAGAUUUGUGAAGACAAAAGUAAUACUUGAUGGAAUUUUCAAUGGUUUCAGCGUGGCAGUCAAAGUGUUAACGAAAAGAAGAAGAAACAUCGUUUAUGGAAGACAUACCUUGAACCCUGUCGGGCUCCAACUGACGAAGCGAAUCGAUUUCUUUCCCUUCAUGGAAGCGAUCGUUUUAUUUACGUCAUUCGGGUUCACGUCUCCUCGAUAUAGCAAACAGCAGCUCGUGUAAGCUCCUGUACGCGGGUCGCACUUUACCAUCUGAAAAUUGAACGAAUAAGUGAGAAAUAAGCUUCAAGAACGCGUGAAACGUUUCGUUUAGCACCUGGUUAGAUGGCUCGAAACACUCGUACGUGAUCUGUUGCGUGGUGAUGUCCGAGUGCAUGGCCUUAGAAGCAGAGAUCAACGGGGCAUAGGUAGCCAGGGCGAAAUGAAUCCUUGGAUAAGGCACCAGGUUCAUUUGGAGUUCUUGGAGGCUCAGAUUCACAGCUCCCUCGAACCUCAUCGAGGCUGUGAUGCUCGAAACUACUUGAGCCUGUAGUCGAUUUAGAUUCGUAUACGUUGGGCAGUCUACGUCCAAGUUUCUGAUUAGAAGACAGCACGCGUUAAUGAUCGAUCUUCAGAGAUACGCGGUGGAUACAGAUUUUCUUGUACCUUGUGCAAAUAUUGUACAGAGCCUCGUUGUCCAUCAGGAAGCAACAAUCAGCGCUGUCUAGGCUACUGUCUAUGGUAAAAAUCGAGUUGUACGGUUCGACUAUAACGGUGGAGAUAUUGGGGGAUGGGUAAAUGGCAAAAUCUAGGGUGAUUUUCUUAGGAUAGUCCCGCAUUAGACGUUGUAACAGCAAAGUGGCGAAACCACUUCCGGUACCACCGCCAAGUGACCUAGGAAAUUAGUAUAGUUAUAGUACUCGGUGAUGCGGGAUCCUCUAAGGAGGAAUUAGGGUAAGAAUGGCCGUGUAAAAUAGGCAUCGGACUUGCCGCUCGAGCCUAAGGGCAACAAGUACGUGCUGGGAAUAGAAAUUGAACACCGAAGACAGAAGAGAAAAUAAGAAAAAGCCUCCUCGAGUAGCUAGGUCACUGCCUUCAGGCUUCUCUUUACUACUGUUGCCCUCUUUGGCUCGUUGCCCACUGGUCACAGUGCUGACCUGUACCAAAGUUUACCUAAACACCAUGAAUCCACGGGGUUUCGAGCAUGAUUCCCAUAGUUUGCAAACGCGAUACAAUACGAGAUCGAUCGCCUCUUUACCGAUGGUAUAAUAUCCUCUCGCGUAAUUGUUCGACGCAUCUUCUUUUCCAGAGAUCAAUGAUUCCGGAGAGAACAGCUUCCUGUAGGUGCCUGUUCUAAUCUCAUCAAUCGCAGUGGGCUCUAGAUCGACGAUCAACGUUCUUGGGGUCAAUUUUCUUGCCUAAGAUAUAGAAGUUGAGAUCACAAACGAGUAAUACAUUUCUGGGUCACCAUCCAAUUUGGAGGAUUCUAUCCAGAUGACUUAUUCCGGGCUUCUCCUUUUCGGUGCCCAUUCUGCAUCUCAAGUUUUUCGAGAAAUCGUAUUUACCGACAAUUACCGACAAAUAUCAAGAUAUUUAAUGUGGUAUCCGGAACACAAGCUACAACCUAUAUAAAACGAGUAAAUAGAAAGAGAGGGAAACCCGGAGGGAGUUCAGCUAUAUCUAAUCUGUAGCAUUAAAUUUGUAUUUCAUAUUCCAUAUUUGAAGUAAGAAUAAUUGUUCGAUAUUU